UGAGCAAUCUGCCCUUCUCAUCGGAAUAAGCGUUGGAAACGACGUCUAAUGCCGAAUACGACCUCCCUUCACAUGAUCGGAGGUGGAAAGCUCCGGCGGAGAAAGAUGAGCUCGCGGCCUAUCAACUAGUUGGUGUGGGUAAUGGCCCACAAGGCGACGACGGGUAGCCGGCCUGAGAGGGUGACCGGCCACACUGGGACUGAGACACCGGCCCAGACCUCCGUACGGGAGGNAGCG
rnacentral:rRNA from 1 species